CCGCCUCCCAACUUCCUCGGCACAUCUGCAGCCAGCUGCGGCAUGGGCGCAGCGGCGGGGAGGACGCGCCGUCCUCGUCUGUCCUCAAGCGAAGCAGUAAUCCAGGCGGGAUAGCGAAAGAGGGUGAGAUCCAGGAAAAACUGCCAUGAGAGAGUCGGUCUGCAGCUUCGUGCAAUAACACACACGGAUGGGUGGAACACUCGUCUCUGCACAGCUUCAACAACCGAAACCAAAUCAGCCGGCAAAAAGAAAAAAAAAUUAUUUACUUUGUAUUUAAUGUAAUAUUUGCUUAGAUUGUAUCUGUUAACAUGUGAGAUCACAUCUGGACAGUUCGCAAAUAUUAUAAAAAUAAACGUCUAGUAACAUCCUAGAGACUAAAGAGAUGCCACCGGAAACCA